GUCGCCAUCCUCCCUAGUGAUCCUCACCCACUGGUAUUGGCGUCCUGUGUGGUCACCUCAUAGGGUGCAUCAGAGCUGGGUGUGUGGCCCAGGGUGGGUGGUAGAGGUGACAGUGUGUGGCUUGCCAGGCCAGGUCAUUGCAGGCAAGUGGCUUCCUCCUUGUACUCGUGAACACUUGAUAACAUCGCAUUUGGAGCCCUGCGCCUUGUGGGAGGUGUGUAGUCUCCCCAGGGGCAGCAGCAGGUAGAGGAUCAGCUGUCCAAAUGACUAUGGGCCUGGGUCUUAGGGAGGAAGAGGGUCCAUGCCAACGGUGGGUGAGCUGGCAGGGAAACCAGACUCUGGGAAGCACAGGGAGAGGCCUCCCAGGAACGGGGGGAGUGGCAUGUCCAUCUGUCCCAAUAACACAACAGGCAAGCAAGGGAAGCCCGAGGCGGGGUGGGCCCUGCCCCUGGUGUGCUGGGUCUGUGGUUGGGAGAGGUGAAUCCAAAUGGGCCACGUCUCGCCGGGAAUCUGUGUCUCUCAGGAGCUGACAGCAGCGUCUCCAUGCCUAUCCCAUGCCACCCCCUCUGCAUCUUGUGGGGACCGACUUGGGUUGAGGCCAGCUUCCCAGGGUCUGUCAGUAGGCCCACUGCACCCUCCCCAGCUCAGUGGCAGGGUGGCACGGGGGCCUGCGCUCAAACACAGUCUUCAGUGGAAGAGCCAAGUCUUCAGUGGAAAAAAACAAUACUAAGAUGAGAUCCUGAAAAUCAACUAAUUGUCGGGAAAAUAAACAAGGACACAAACGACUCCCAAUACCAUUCAGCCCAGUGUGUGACGAAUAGCCAAGUAUCGGACUGGCUGAUGUCUUUGCCAUUUUGCACCAUCUGAUGCAUUCGGAUCUUUGUAAAACUCAAAACAAAACAAGCUAUCAAAAGGAUAGGUAUUGAUUUCAUUGAGAUUUCCACUAAUGCUUUUAAUUAAAUUGACAGUGAUGUAAAUGGCACGAUGUGUUUUGGCGUUAUUAGGCCAUCUUUUCACUAGGUGUAUUUUGCACCAUAAUUGUAUGAGUCAUGGAGGAUCCUUUCAUUUUAUAGAUGUAGAACCAAGAGUCAGGGACAUCCGCGUGGUAGCUCAGGUUGAGCACUGAACAACAGCAGGGAGUGCCCUGCCCAUCUUAAUGAAUCAUGUGGCUGCUGGAGCCCUUGUUGAUCUUUCAUCAAAGCCCUUCUUUUUUUUUUUUCAGAGUCAGAUGUCCUGCUGUUUUUUUGUUUCUUUCACAAUGUGCUUUUCAUUGAAAAGAAGGUGAACCUGGGGUUCAGAGAGAAACAACAGAACUUUUGAAAACUCUUCCAUGGAAGAAAGGAGACCUAAUGAGAAGGUCAUCCCUGGUGACAAGGACCCCACAAGUGUGCAACAAAGAAUGAGGAGAGGAAAUACGGCAGCCGUCUUGCAGGUGAGUGCUUCCUUAUUGGUCUGGAGCAUUUUAACACCUACGGGUGAAAGCCUAUGGGUCCCGCUGUGUUGAAUGAUCCUGGAUCUAUGUCCUGUCGGAUUUGCUGAAGUCAGUGGGAUCUGACAGAUACCAACAGCAAGAGCUUCCUUCAUCUUCCAUUCACCCACCGCCCAGGAGGCCACGCGCCCACACGGUCCCAAGCUUCCACGGGGGUCCAGGGGCCUGGGGACCUUACCCUGCUCAGCAGACGAGGAAACUGACCGUUGUGCUCCUGACUGCUCCCCUUCCCUGUGCCAAGAGCCGUAGGGCGAGGGUCUCAGGAAAGCCCUGGGAAGCCCCUCUCAGGGACCACGUGGGGAAGCUGGGCUCUGCAGGGCUCAGGGUGUGGUCUUAGUGUGCAGCUGGAAGGCCUCCUUACAGGGCCAGCAAGACUGGGACAAGGCCAGGCAGGUCCUCUGAUCCGUGCUCCCUAGUGCUAGCGCUUCGUCUGGGCCAGCAAUCCCAGAUCCCAUUAGGGCCUCAAUUUUAUGGUGAACUUGAAACCUGAGAACUUAAAACUUGCCCAAGGACUUAAAUCUGGUAAAUGGCAGUUCAGGCUUAGACCCAGGAUUCCUGGCCUAGAGGGCAAGUUUGUAAACCACUGUGUGCAGAGAGCGGGGAGCAUCCCGUCCUCACACCUGCUGAGUGUGGAACUCACCUGGCCUAGGGUUGGUCUGCGUCCCCAGGUCACAUGUAGAUGGCAUGUGGCAGGAUGAGCAGGUUUAAGUGCACUUAGGAGGGUGUCACUUGACCCAGAGAUGACCAGGGCCUCUCUCCAGAUUCUGUAAGUGCAGCCUUGGGGAAGCAAGUCAAGGUGCUAGUUGUUCUUUCUCUAAUAGACACCCAAAGAAGGAGGGGAUGGCUUUAUAAAAAAAAAAAAGUAAGUUGGAUCUGAAUAUAUCAGGUCUUAACCCCUGGGGAUUGUCACUGUUUCUUCCUAUGAUGAAGUAUUGCAGAUGUGAUUCAAUUAAAAUGGUUAUGAUGAGAAAUUACCCUGGGUUAUCAGGUUAUC